CGUUUUCAAAAGGUAAGGUGGAGGACAGUAGGGAUCACUGUUUCAAAAAGGUAAGGUGGAAGACAGUAGGGAUCACUGUUUCAAAAGGUGAGGUGGAAGACAGCAGGGAUCACUGUUUCAAAAGGUGGAAGACAGUAGGGAUCACUGUUUCAAAAGGUGAGGUGGAAGACAGCAGGGAUCACUGUUUCAAAAGGUGGAAGACAGUAGGGAUCACUGUUUCAAAGGGGGAGACAGUAGGACAUGUUUCAAAGGUGAGGUGGAAGACAGUAGGGAUCACUGUUUCAAAAGGUGGAAGACAGCAGGGAUCACUGUUUCAAAAGGUGGAAGACAGUAGGGAUCACUGUUUCAAAAGGUGGAAGACAGUAGGGAUCACUGUUUCAAAAGGUAAGGUGGAAGACAGUAGGGAUCACUGUUUCAAAAGGUGGAAGACAGUAGGGAUCACUGUUUCAAAAGGUGGAAGACAGUAGGGAUCACGUUUCAAAAGGUGAAGACAUCAGUGAUUCAACAAAUAAAUGAGAGAAGUUGUUAGUUUAAAGCUGGGGGGGGGGGUUCAUUAAAGGUGCACUACACUGUUAUCAUACUACUGUUGGUCUCCACCAUAGCAGGUGUCAGCCGAUGCCUAUUGAACAUCUGGACAACCUUUGACUGAUACACCUUUAAUUAUCACCAGACAGAAAUAAAACAGGGCAAAUUAAAACAAGGGCAGAAAUUAAACAGGGCAGAAAUGAAACAAGACAAAAAGAAAAUGAAGAGAGGGUGAGGUCUUGCAACACUUUUUUCCGCUGCCAUCAGCACCGCAUUGCAGAGUUUAGGAAGGGAGAGAAGAUCAGAGAGAGAGAGAGGAGAGAGAGAGAGAGAGAGGAUCAGAGAGAGCAAGAGAGGAGAGAGAGAGGAGAGAGAGGGGGGGAGAGGAUCAGAAGAGCAAGAGAGAGAGAGAGAGAAGAGAGAGAGAGGAGAUCAGAGAGAGCAAAGAGAGAGAGAGAGAGAAGAGACGUAGAAAUAGAAAGAGUUGUGAUCCCUUCAGGUGAAAUAUCACGUCACUACUAGACCUCUCAUCAAUAUUACUGUAAGAUGACCCUACUGACUGCAGUCUGUACCCGACUCCCUCCUACCCUAAUGACUGCAGUCUGUACCCGACUCCCUCUACCCUAAUGACUGGCAGUCUGUACCCCACCCCUCUACCCUACUGACCGCAGUCUGUACCCCCACUCCCUCUACCCUACUGACCGCAGUCUGUACCCCACUCCCUCUACCCUACUGACCCGCAGUCUGUACACCCCACUCCUCUACCCUACUGACUUAAGUGU
ensembl:lncRNA